rnacentral:rRNA from 1 species
CAGUAGCCACGGUAAAACGAAGGGGGCUCGCGUUGUUCGGAUUUACUGGGCGUAAGACGCACGUAGGCGGAUCGAUCAGUCAGGGGCGAAAUCCCAGAGCUCAACUCUGGAACUGCCUUUGAUACUGUCGAUCUGGAGUAUGGAAGAGGUGAGUGGAAUUCCGAGUGUAGAGGUGAAAUUCGUAGAUAUUCGGAGGAACACCAGUGGCGAAGGCGGCUCACUGGUCCAUUACUGACGCUGAGGUGCGAAAGCGUGGGGAGCAAACAGGAUUAGAUACCCGUGUAGUCCCUGUCUCUUAUAA